GACGAACGCUGGCGGCGUGCCUAAUACAUGCAAGUUGAGCGAUGAAGCUUGGUGCUUGCACCAAUUUGAAGAGCAGCGAACGGGUGAGUAACGCGUGGGGAAUCUGCCUUUGAGCGGGGGACAACAUUUGGAAACGAAUGCUAAUACCGCAUAACAACUUUAAACAUAAGUUUUAAGUUUGAAAGAUGCAAUUGCAUCACUCAAAGAUGAUCCCGCGUUGUAUUAGCUAGUUGGUGAGGUAAAGGCUCACCAAGGCGAUGAUACAUAGCCGACCUGAGAGGGUGAUCGGCCACAUUGGGACUGAGACACGGCCCAAACUCCUACGGGAGGCAGCAGUAGGGAAUCUUCGGCAAUGGACGAAAGUCUGACCGAGCAACGCCGCGUGAGUGAAGAAGGUUUUCGGAUCGUAAAACUCUGUUGGUAGAGAAGAACGUUGGUGAGAGUGGAAAGCUCAUCAAGUGACGGUAACUACCCAGAAAGGGACGGCUAACUACGUG
rnacentral:rRNA from 1 species